rnacentral:tRNA from 1 species
GAUGGUAAAAAUUUUCACUUACAAUGAAGAGCACCUAUUAGGCAUCUUUUUAGUUUGAGGGACUGUUAA